rnacentral:lncRNA from 1 species
AUCAACCUCACUGUGUUCUUCAACAACGCUAUUGCUGGUGAGCCCUUGGGCCAAGUUUCCUUCAAGCUGUUUGCAGACAAAUUUCCCAAAACAGCAGAAAAUUUUCAUGCUCUGAGCACUGGAGAGAAAGGAUUUAGUUAUAAGGGUGUCUGCUUUCCCAUAAUUAUUCCAGGAUUUAUGUGUCAGUGUGGUGACUUCACAUGUCAAAAUGGCAGUGGUGGCAAGUCCAUCUAUGGGGAGAAAUUUGAUGAUGAGAAUCCUGAAACAUACAGGUCCUGGCAUCUUGUCCAUGACAAAUGUUGGACCCAACACAAACAGUUUCCAGUGUUUCAUCUGCACAGCCACGACUGAGUGGUUGGAUGGCAAGCAUAUAGUCUUUGGCAAAGUGAAGGAAGGCAUGAAUAUCAUGGAAGCCAGGGAGCACUUUGGGUCCAGGAAUGGUAAGACUAGCAAGUAGAUCACCAUUGCUGACUGUGAACAACU